UGGGGAAUAUUGGUCAAUGGGCGCGAGCCUGAACCAGCCAAGUAGCGUGCAGGAAGACGGCCCUAUGGGUUGUAAACUGCUUUUAUGCGGGGAUAAAGGAGUCCACGUGUGGAUUUUUGCAGGUACCGCAUGAAUAAGGACCGGCUAAUUCCGUGCCAGCAGCCGCGGUAAUACGGAAGGUCCGGGCGUUAUCCGGAUUUAUUGGGUUUAAAGGGAGCGUAGGCCGCGUUUUAAGCGUGUUGUGAAAUGUAGACGCCCAACGUCUGCAUCGCAGCGCGAACUGGGACGCUUGAGUACGCGCAACGUUGGCGGAAUUCGUCGUGUAGCGGUGAAAUGCUUAGAUAUGACGAGGAACUCCGAUUGCGAAGGCAGCUGACGGGAGCGGCACUGACGCUUAAGCUCGAAGGUGCGGGUAUCAAACAGG
rnacentral:rRNA from 1 species